rnacentral:rRNA from 1 species
GACAGGAGGUGCAAACGUUGUUCGGAAUUACUGGGCGUAAAGCGCGUGUAGGCGGCUAUGUAAGUCGGGCGUGAAAUCCCACGGCUCAACCGUGGAAGUGCACCCGAAACUGCGUAGCUAGAGUCCUGGAGAGGAAGGUGGAAUGCUUGGUGUAGAGGUGAAAUUCGUAGAUAUCAAGCGGAACACCGGUGGCGAAGGCGGCCUUCUGGACAGUGACUGACGCUGAGACGCGAAAGCGUGGGGAGCAAACAGG